rnacentral:rRNA from 1 species
UACGUAGGUGACAAGCGUUGUCCGGAUUUACUGGGCGUAAAGAGCGCGCAGGCGGUCGUUCAAGUCGAGUGUGAAAGCCCCCGGCUCAACUGGGGAGGGUCACUCGAUACUGAUCGACUCGAAGGCAGGAGAGGGUAGUGGAAUUCCCGGUGUAGUGGUGAAAUGCGUAGAUAUCGGGAGGAACACCAGUGGCGAAGGCGACUACCUGGCCUGUUCUUGACGCUGAGGAGCGAAAGCGUGGGGAGCGAACAGG